AGUGAACGCUGGCGGUAGGCCUAACACAUGCAAGUCGAACGGCAGCACAGUAAGAGCUUGCUCUUACUGGUGGCGAGUGGCGGACGGGUGAGGAAUACAUCGGAAUCUACUUUUUCGUGGGUGAUAACGGAGGGAAACUUACGCUAAUACCGCAUACGACCUACGGGUGAAAUCAGGGGAUCUUCGGACCUUGCGCGAUUGAAUUAGCCGAUGUCGGAUUAGCUAGUUGGUGGGGUAAAGGCCCACCAAGGCGACGAUCCGUAGCUGGUCUGAGAGGAUGAUCAGCCACACUGGAACUGAGACACGGUCCAGACUCCUACGGGAGGCAGCAGUGGGGAAUAUUCGACAAUGGGCGAAAGCCUGACCCAGCCAUACCGCGUGGGUGAAGAAGGCCUUCGGGUUGUAAAGCCCUUUUGUUGGGAAAGAACAGCAGCAGGUUAAUACCCCGCUGUUCUGACGGUACCCAAAGAAUAAGCACCGGCUAACUUCGUG
rnacentral:rRNA from 1 species